AUGCGAAACAGAGCGGCGAUGCCGCUCUGUCUGCCCGGUGUGGUGGCCGGGUACUGAUGAGCAGCCGACC
rnacentral:hammerhead_ribozyme from 1 species